GAGUCAACCAAUCUGUGGGAAAUUCUGAGAUCAGAAUCCAAAAUAUGUAACGAAAAUUAUGCAAUUAUUCAACAUAGGGACUAUGUACCCCAUUUUCUGUAAAAAAUUUCUACAAUAUUUUAAAAAUGUGAAAACACUCGCUUGGUAUUUGUACUACACGUUCUAAAAUAUUUUUCAAAUGAAUUCAUGUUGCCUCGCUGAUGCUCUGGAAUGUUACAUGGGACAACUUGUCCAAAGUUUCCAGGACUUUGUGAAGAAAACCCUCCUCUUGAUGACUGUUGGGCUGGCGGCGAUUGUUGGUGUGCUAUACUAUUUACUAAAUGGGACCAAACAUAGCACUUCUGGAGAUGCCAUUCCUCUGGCUAAUCCCGACAACCUAACGAAUAUUGACAAAGAAGACAACAUAAAAAGCCGUCGUAGCGUUAAAAUGAGAAAUAUGAGUUCCCAGUGCCAUUUAUUAUGCGAAAAGUCUUGUAAAACAACUGAUGUAAAUCACGAUCCACCUCUGGAGAAGAAGCGAAGUAUUGAAGAAAGAGUCAUAAAAAAUACCACAUUCUCCUCUUCGAAACUACCUACCGCCCGUAAUGCCAACAGUAAACACAGUAGUUUUAUAAGAAGCAG